AGAGAGAGAGAGAGAGAAGAGGAAAACAAAAAGGUAAAGCAUGUCAAGCACUUCUCUUCACACAAGUGACACAAAAACAUUAUACACUUCCAAACACUCAAAACUACAAUAUGGGCAUGUGAGCAAGUACAUAUUUCCUCAAAAGGAAAUGCAUACAAAUAUAGAUCAGGGAUGAAUAGCAAUUUAUCUGUAACAUGUUGUGGAGGCUUACCAACAUCAAGCAUGCAAAUAA
rnacentral:misc_RNA from 1 species